rnacentral:rRNA from 1 species
AACGAACGCUGGCGGCAUGCCUAACACAUGCAAGUCGAACGAGAUCUUCGGGUCUAGUGGCGCACGGGUGCGUAACGCGUGGGAAUCUGCCCUUUGGUUCGGAAUAACAGUUGGAAACGACUGCUAAUACCGGAUGAUGACGAAAGUCCAAAGAUUUAUCGCCAGAGGAUGAGCCCGCGUAGGAUUAGCUAGUUGGUGUGGUAAAGGCGCACCAAGGCGAAGAACCUUAGCUGGUCUGAGAGGAUGAUCAGCCACACUGAGACUGAGACACGGCCCAGACUCCUACGGGAGGCAGCAGUGGGGAAUGUUGGACAAUGGGCGAAAGCCUGAUCCAGCAAUGCCGCGUGAGUGAUGAAGGCCUUAGGGUUGUAAAGCUCUUUUACCCGGGAUGAUAAUGACAGUACCGGGAGAAUAAGCUCCGGCUAACUCCGUGCCAGCAGCCGCGGUAA